rnacentral:rRNA from 1 species
UUGGAGGGCAAGUCUGGUGCCAGCAGCCGCGGUAAUUCCAGCUCCAAUAGCGUAUAUUAAAGUUGUUGCAGUUAAAAAGCUCGUAGUUGAAUUUCGGGGUUCUACCGUUGGUCGGGCUAACCAGUCUGUACUAGCGUGUAGAAUUCUUACCUUCUGGGGAACCAUCAUGUUAUUAAUUUAGCGUGGUGGGAAACCAGGACCUUUACCUUGAAAAAAUUAGAGUGUUCAAAGCAGGCUUACGUCUGAAUACAUUAGCAUGGAAUAAUAAAAUAGGACGGUGGUCCUGUUUUGUUGGUUUCUGAAUCACCGUAAUGAUUAAUAGGGAUAGUUGGG